UAGCAAUAGCUAAUUGCGAAUAUCGACUCUGUCGAAUAAAAUUCUAGGUAGAAUUAUGAUAAUGACAUUGUCUGCCUAUGUGUCUUGACCAAAUUACGUGCCAGCAGUCGCGGUAAUACGUAGAAGACUAGUGUUAUUCAUCUUUAAUAGGUUUAAAGGGUACCUAGACGGUAAAUCAAGCACUAAUUUACUAGAGUUACUUGUGAGGGGGUAUUAAAGUACUGCUGGUGUAGAGAUGAAAUUCUGUCAUACCUUUUUUCGAUGGCACAGGUAUAGGCGAAAGCAUCCCCUUAUGUGUUAACUGACGUUGAAGGACGAAGGCUUUGUGUGCGAACAGGAUUAGAUACCCCAGUAUCAAAGCAGAAAAUGAUGAAUGUCAUAGAUUAGACAGUUUAUUCUAUAAAUGAAAGUGUAAGCAUUCC
rnacentral:rRNA from 1 species